GCGGAGGAAAAGAAACUAACAAGGAUUCCCCUAGUAGCGGCGAGCGAAGCGGGAAGAGCUCAAAUUUAUAAUCUGGCACCUUCGGUGUCCGAGUUGUAAUCUCUAGAAAUGUUUUCCGCGUUGGACCGCACACAAGUCUGUUGGAAUACAGCGGCAUAGUGGUGAGACCCCCGUAUAUGGUGCGGACGCCCAGCGCUUUGUGAUACAUUUUCGAAGAGUCGAGUUGUUUGGGAAUGCAGCUCAAAUUGGGUGGUAAAUUCCAUCUAAAGCUAAAUAUUGGCGAGAGACCGAUAGCGAACAAGUACCGUGAGGGAAAGAUGAAAAGCACUUUGGAAAGAGAGUUAACAGUACGUGAAAUUGUUGGAAGGGAAACGCUUGAAGUCAGACUUGCUUGCCGAGCAAUCGGUUUGCAGGCCAGCAUCAGUUUUCCGGGAUGGAUAAUGGUAGAGAGAAGGUAGCAGUUUCGGCUGUGUUAUAGCUCUCUGCUGGAUACAUCUUGGGGGACUGAGGAACGCAGUGUGCCUUUGGCGGGGGUUUCGACCUCUUCACACUUAGGAUGCUGGUGGAAUGGCUUUAAACGACCCGUC
rnacentral:rRNA from 1 species